rnacentral:rRNA from 1 species
GUCUACGGCCAUACCACCCUGAACGCGCCCGAUCUCGUCUGAUCUCGGAAGCUAAGCAGGGUCGGGCCUGGUUAGUACUUGGAUGGGAGAAGGAGACCCUGACACAUGCCACCGCGGAAC